rnacentral:rRNA from 1 species
AAAUUGAAGAGUUUGAUCAUGGCUCAGAUUGAACGCUGGCGGCAGGCCUAACACAUGCAAGUCGAACGGUAACAGGAAGCAGCUUGCUGCUUCGCUGACGAGUGGCGGACGGGUGAGUAAUGUCUGGGAAACUGCCUGAUGGAGGGGGAUAACUACUGGAAACGGUAGCUAAUACCGCAUAAUGUCGCAAGACCAAAGAGGGGGACCUUCGGGCCUCUUGCCAUCGGAUGUGCCCAGAUGGGAUUAGCUUGUUGGUGGGGUAACGGCUCACCAAGGCGACGAUCCCUAGCUGGUCUGAGAGGAUGACCAGCCACACUGGAACUGAGACACGGUCCAGACUCCUACGGGAGGCAGCAGUGGGGAAUAUUGCACAAUGGGCGCAAGCCUGAUGCAGCCAUGCCGCGUGUAUGAAGAAGGCCUUCGGGUUGUAAAGUACUUUCAGCGGGGAGGAAGGGAGUAAAGUUAAUAC